UACGUAGGGUGCGAGCGUUAAUCGGAAUUACUGGGCGUAAAGCGUGCGCAGGCGGUUCGUUGUGUCGGCGGUGAAAGCCCCGGGCUCAACCUGGGAAUGGCCGUUGAAACUGGCGAACUGGAGUGUGGCAGAGGGGGGUGGAAUUCCGCGUGUAGCAGUGAAAUGCGCAGAUAUCAGGAGGAACACCGAUUGCGAAGGCAGCUCGCUGGGACGUAACUGACGCUGAGACGCGAAAGCGUGGGGAGCAAACAGG
rnacentral:rRNA from 1 species